rnacentral:lncRNA from 1 species
AAAGCUGAAGCAAGAAUGGCAGUGACCGGCAGUGGCAGAAGUAGAAACCAAAAAUGGUGAGACCGUGACAGUGGAGAUGGCAAUGACAAACAAUCGACAAAAGUUGAAAGCAGAAAGGGUAAAACCGUGAGACAAUGAGAGUGGAGAUGGAAUAUUAGAAGUGCUUGGAAGGGCAGUGAUCGAUCGACAGUCGGCAAAAGUAGAAAUAAAAAAGGGUGAGACUGUGAGAUGAUGAGAGUGGAGAUGGAAGACUAGAAGUGCUUGGAAGAGUAGUGAUCGAUCGGUAUUUGGCAGAACCAAAAAUCAAAAAGGGUGAGACCGUGAUAAUGGAGAUGGAAGGCAAGGGAUGGCAGUAGUGACGGGCAGUAGUAGUAGGUAGAAACUAAGGGUCAAAAGAAUUAGGUAUUUAGGUUUAGGAAUUUUUAAGGAAAAAUUUCCAAACUACCCUUUUUAGGUUCGGUUAGCAAUUUCUCUAACCGAAAUCGAACCGAAAUAAUUUCAUUAACCGAAUUAAUCGAAUCGAACUAACCGAACUCUGAACUAACCGAACUGAACUAACCGAACUCAAUUUAAUUCGGUUCGGUUCGAUUUUGCUCACCCCUACCCUUGAGUGCUUUCGCAUUUGGAACACCCAUGGAUGCUUCCACAUUUGAAACACCCCUAUAUAAUUUGUCUGAAACACAAUACUUCAAA